ACUCCUACGGGAGGCAGCAGUGGGGAAUAUUGCACAAUGGGGGAAACCCUGAUGCAGCCAUGCCGCGUGUGUGAAGAAGGCCUUCGGUUGUUAAAGCACUUUCAGUAGGAGGAAGGUAGUGUAGUUAACACCUGCACUAUUUGACGUUACCUACAGAAGAAGCACCGGCUAACUCCGUGCCAGCAGCCGCGGUAAUACGGAGGGUGCGAGCGUUAAUCGGAAUUACUGGGCGUAAAGCGCAUGCAGGCGGUCUGUUAAGUCAGAUGUGAAAGCCCGGGGCUUAACCUCGGAAUUGCAUUUGAAACUGGCAGGCUAGAGUCUUGUAGAGGGGGGUAGAAUUUCAGGUGUAGCGGUGAAAUGCGUAGAGAUCUGAAGGAAUACCAGUGGCGAAGGCGGCCCCCUGGACAAAGACUGACGCUCAGGAUGCGAAAGCGUGGGGAGCAAACAGGAUUAGAUACCCUGGUAGGAUAGCG
rnacentral:rRNA from 1 species